GAGUGGACAGUGAGAGAGAGAGAAAGGUCUUCCUUUGCCGUUGGUUCACCCUCCAAUGGCUGCUGCGGCCGGCGUACCGUGCUGAUCUGAAGGCAGGAGCCAGGUGCUUCUCCUGGUCUCCCAUGGGGUGCAGGGCCCAAGCACCUGGGCCAUCCUCCACUGCACUCCCGGGCCACAGCAGAGAGCUGGCCUGGAAGAGGGGCAACCGGGACAGGAUCCGGCGCCCCAACCGGGACUAGAACCCGGUGUGCCAGCGCCGCAAGGCGGAGGAUUACCCUAGUGAGCCGCAGCGCCGGCCCAGAGCCAGUCUUACCACAGCUCUAGGCCACGGACGUCUUUGGAGGUGGCUAUGCCAAGACACUCACCCUGAAGACUGCCUGGAGACGACUGCACCAGGAUAUUUAAUGUGCGUGUCCUGCCGACUGCACCAACUGUCGUGAGCCCAGUAACUGCAUCCAGGCGGUGUUGGUUCCAGUGGGCAUUUUCAUUCACCCUUCCCAGUUCACACAGCACACGGGGCAGACCAGCCGCUCGAGGUUCCCAGCAUGCCCUCGGUGCUCCUCGCUGCGGAGAGCACUCGGGGCCCAUAGUGGGUCCUGAAGUGGGGCUGAGUGUCCACGUGGGGUGCUCGGAGUCCCGGUGUCAGGUGAGCGCAGGGCUGGCCGGGAGGCUGUCUCUCGCGGGAGGGCCUGAGUUAGCGGCUGGUCAGCCUGGGGGCCGGGUACCGCUCUCAGGAGGGUCUUUGCUUGCUGCCUGUCCAGCUUUAUUUGCCUCACCGUGGUCUCAGGGGUCAAAAAGGUGCAGCCUGCUGCGUGGGUGCCUUGUCGGGUGGUCACAGCUCAUCUGUGUGGGACGGAGCAGGCCAGGUUCUGGGUGCUCCUCUCAACACACUACGCCACAACACCGGCCCGAGUCCACGUCUUAAGUAACUUCUCCAUGCUGGUGGCCUGGGUUCCAUCAGGCAGAUCUGGGCGAUAAAGCGAGGACAAGACAAAGCCAGGUGUUCCAAAACCGUCCCCUCAUACUGCCAAGGGCUGGCUGAUGGCUGAGCCGAGCCUGCCAUGAUUGGGACCACUCCCGGAUGGGGUCAGGUGGCCUUGGGAAGUGUCACAGAUGUGCUAGGCAGAAGUGGCGGAUUCUUUGAUCUCAAUAGUGAGACAACUUUUACAAAACUACUUCACAACUCCAGAGUUGGUGGGCGGAGGUGGUGGUGUAGCACAGUAGGUCAAGCCUCCAUCUGCCACCCCGGCAUCCCCGGUGAGCAUGGGCUCGUGUCCCGGCUGCUCUACUUCUGAUCUAACUCACUGCUGAUGUGCCUGGAAAAGCGGCAGAAAAUGGCCCAAACACUUGGGCUCCUGCGCCCAUGUGGGAGACCCAGAGGAGUAGUUCCAGGCUCUUGUCUUCUUCCAGCCCAACUCCAGCCAUUUUGGCCAUUUGUGGAGUGAACCAGUGGAUGGAAGAUCUCUCUCUUUCUUUCUCUGUUAACUCUACCUUUUAAAGAAAUAAACCCUUAAAAAAUAUAUCCUGGCAGGGCUUGGAGAGGAGUUGGGCGUUUGGAGCAGAGGUUAAGACACAACUUGGGGGGCUGGUGCUGUGGUGUAGUGGGUAAAGCCGCUGCCUCGAGUGCUGACAACCCAUAUGGGUGCUGGUUCAAGUCCUGGCUGCUCCACUUACAAUCCAGCUCUCUCCUAUGGCCUGGGAAAGCAGUAAAAGAUGGCCCAAGUCCUUGGGACCCUGCAUCACGUGGGAGACCUGGAGGAAGCUCCUGGCUCCUGGCUUCAGAUCAGCAUAGCUCCGGCCAUUGCAGCCAACUGGGGAGUGAACCAGCGGAUAGAAGACCUCUCUCUCUCUCUUUGCCUCUCUUUCUCUCUCUCUGUAAUUCUGACUUUCAAAUAAAUAAAUACAUCUUUUAAAAAAAAGGACACAACUUGGGAGAGCCACAUGCCAUAUCCCAGUGCCCACUCCUUUGCUCCUGAUCUGCAGUAGGCGUCCUAAUGCACACCCCGGGAGACAGCAGAUGAUGGCUCGAGUACUAGGGUCCCUGCUACCCACGUGGGGGACCCAGAUGGAGAUCUGCUUCCUUUCUUCCACUGUGAGUGAGCAAAUGGAAGAUCUCUCACUGUUUGUCUCUCUGCCUUUCAAAUAAAAAAUGAAAAUAAAUACAUGAAAUUUAAAAACUCUUGCCAGUAAACAUAUUUGGAUAGUGAAACCGUUCAUAAUGCAGGCUUAUAGCUACCAAGUUUCAGAUAUGGGGAAAUUAGCUAUUUCUGUCAAAGUAUAAUUUUAAAAAUGUAGAAGAAGCAUGUGUAAGAGAUGUAGUUAAUUCAUUAAUUAAGGGUCCGGCAUUGUAGUGUAGUGGAUAAAGCCACCAUCUGUGACCAGCAACCCCUGUGGACACUGGUUUGAGUCCCAGUGGCUCCACUUCCUAUCCAGCUUCCUGCUAAUGAACCUGGGAAGGCAGUGGAAGAUGGCCUAAGGAAGCUUGGGCCCCUGUCACCCCUGUGGGAGACCGGGAUGAAGCUCCCUGCUCAUGGCUUCAGCCUGGCCUGGCCCCGGCCAUUUGGCCAUUUGGGGAGUGAAACAGCAGGUGGAAGAUCCCUCUCCCUCCCCCUUGCUCUGCUGUAACUCUGACUUUCAAAUAAAUAAAUAGAUCUUCAAAGAUAUUUAUUAAUUGCGGAACCAGCAGGAUGGUAAAGUAAAACUUGAAACACCUGUUUAUAUAAUCAGUGUAAAAAAGCAAUAUCCAAAUAGAUUGCAAAGCAAGAACAAAUCUGGUUAACGUUCUACAACCAUACUCUCUGGAACAGUUGUUUUUUUCAACUGGACAAAUGAUUUGCAUCUCCACCUUUGGUCCAUUAAACUCUCCAGGAGACCUUGCAAGGCAAACAUGGCUUCCGUGGCCCUGUGGAUGGGGGCCGGAGGGGAGGGCCCCUUCUCAGCCACAGGGAGCCACUGUGAGCUGGGUAGAUUCUCCAUCUGAGCAUAAAAAUCAGCGUCCAGGCUGAGGACGUCGGGUCCUGGGCUGAGGGCCGUGGCGAGCCAUUGAAGGUGCGGUUGGCACCCCUGGCGCCCAGGUCUCCAUGCAGUCACAGACUCCCAGCACGGCCUGGGCAUGUGACACCCCGCUUAGGAGCACAGAAGACAGGAGUCCAGUCCAGGCCACCCAGAGCUGUCCUCCCUGCCGUGUUGGACGUCCAAGUCCUCCUGGGGAACACGCUGGGAAGAAGUGACCCGUCUCCCGACACGCGGCUCGACACCGGGCACUCCGAACGUUUGUUGAAUGGUGGAUGAGCUAUUGAAAGUUCCCAUGCUUUCCACAGCGGCAUUCUCAAGCUACUUCUCUGUUUUUCAUCCACCUGGUUCUCUUUUAUGCCGGGGUCAUCCGUCUCAGGCGUCGGACAUGAGGAGUCACAGGAAACACCUCACAGCAUCCUGCCCUGGAGGUAGACUCGCUUCCAGACACGGAGCAGCAUCGGAUCCUGCGGUUCUCACGCGGUCAGUCUCCCUGUCUGUGAGCGCUGUGUCUGUGGACUCGGCCAACCCCGGUGCAAGACAUCAGGAGAGGAGGCUGCGUCUGUGCACGGCACGUGCAGACUUGCCUUGUCGCGAUUCCCUAAACCACGCGGCAGAGCAACCAUUUCCGAAGCACUUACCUCGUGUUGGGUGCUCCAGGGAACCGGGGGGCUCUCUGAAGUACAUAGGUUAUAGGCAGACACCCUGCCACUCUGUGGAAGGGACUUGGGUGUCCGUGGACUUGGCACCUACCGGGUCCUGGAAGCCAUCCCCUGUGGAUACCCUAGACAACUGGACAUUGGUAAGGCUUUCUGGAGCACUGGUCUUUGCUGUUCCAUGCAGUCCGAGCAGACAGCCGCGGGUAUUCUUGAGCCCCAAUCCACACCUCAGAUAUCUGAGACCAGAGUUAACGCAAAUCCACACUCAGAAAGCUACCAGCUUUAAAACUGGGUUGUCACGACUGCGCAGGGCCAUGAAGGACCUGGUGUACACGCGGGACAAAGUGCGUUUGGGAUCCAGCAGGCUCCCGUGCCCCCCUGUGUCCCGCACCCCAAAUCCUGCCCUAUGCAGUUGGUAGUGGUGUUUUAAAAUCAGUUUUACACUAUGGGGGUACUUGUGUUUGCAAUUUAAUUUUUUUAGGGGCAGGCAGAGAAAGAGAGAAAGGACAGAGAGCUCCCAUACUCCAGUCCACACCCCAAAUAGCUGCAACGGCCGGGGGCUGAAGCCAGGGGCAGGGACAAGGCAAACGGCUUCCCUUUGUUUUCGAUGUUAGUAGAUGUUACCGUGGUUUGACACACUGGACGCCAAGAGGACACCAAAACAAAGUUAGUUAUCCGUCAGUCUACCACUCCCCCCCCGCCAAGCCAGGAGUGCCAAGUCCCACGUGUCCCUCUGCUGCCACCUAGUGGGGACAGUGUGAAUGCAACUGCACGGUCCACUGGAAGAGUUUUGAACCAAGCUGCCAUUCUCUCUAAUUCUCUAAUUUGACUAAAAUGAACAUAUUUUAACUCUCAACUCUUAUGAAUAUCCUUUAAAAAGUCCAUAUGCUGUAGGGAUAGUGUAUUUUGACUUUUAAAAACCUAGAAACUCUGCCAGCAAUUUAGAGUGCAAGUCUCUUAAUAAUGCCGCUGUAUUUAUCCAAAAAUGUCUCUGGUUCAUGAGCACUUAAACUCCAUUGUAUCCCCUGGGUGCAGCCACCUGAAAGCUAGGGGCUGCCCAAGCACACCUACUGGGCGAUCGAUAGCUUUUUGUUAAUUGCUUCUGGAAGGAUUUUUUUAAAAAAAGAUUUAUUUAUUUAUUUGAAAGUCAGAGAAGAGACAGAGAGAAAGACCUUCCAUUCUCUGGUUCACUCCCUAGAUGUCCACAGCAGCCAGGGCUGGGUCAGGCUGAAGCCAGGAGCUUCAUCCAGGUCUCCUACAUGGUUGCAGGGACCCAAGCACUUGGUCCAUCUGCUGCUGUGUUCCCAGGCUCAUUAGCAGGGAGCUGGAUGGGAAGUGGAGCAGCCAGGACUCUAAUCGGUGUCCACAUGGGAUGCUGGUGCUUUACCUGCUAACCCACAAUGUUGGCCCCCUGAUGUCUGGUGAUAUUUCCAGUUGUGAGGAAGAGAGACAGAAGGGACAUGGCAUUCUGGCUGCUGAUGGCAGUGGAGGGGCAGGGGCUGGCCUGUCUCAUGGGUGGCCUGGGUUGGGCUGCAGCUGUGUGGUGUGGUCUCUUCCCGCUGCUGUCCAAAAUGCCACAUGGUUGGAGGCCCUGAUUCCUGCAGAUGGGUGAGGUGGGCAUUGGCGGGCUGAGAAGGGUCACAGCAAGCCCGAGGUGGGGGCAUUUCAUGCCACAGCUGCCCACCUGCUCCCCAUUUUUCCUUCUGUACCACACGCGACCCGUCCCAGAAACCUUGCUGGAAGGAAGGCAGUAAGCAGGAGCCGACUUCAGGUCUUGGGGCAAAAGAUCUGGACAAUACUGCUGAAGAUAAGCCCAGUGUGUUAGGAGAGAGAGAGAGAGAGAGAGAGAGAGAGAGAUAGAUAGAUAGAGAGAGAUAGAGAUAGAGAUAGAGAUAUAUAGAGAGAGAUAGAGAGAGAGAGAUAGAGAUAGAGAGAGAUAGAGAGAGAUAGAGAUAGAGAGAGAUAGAGAUAGAUAGAGAGAGAUAGAGAUAUGUAGAGAUGUAGAUAGAGAUACAGAGACAGAGAAGGACAGAGACAGAACUGUAGAUACAGAUGGUGUAGAGAUAAAGGUAGAAAUAAAGAGUGCACCUACGGGGUCGGCUGGUUCAAUUGCAGAAGCUCGGCAGGUUCCGAGCCAGUAGGCGGGGACUCGGGAGAGCUGCAGUGUGAUGUGGGAGCUGUCCUCCCCCAGGGGUGCUUCCUGUUCAGGAGAGCUCCAUCUGUGCAAGUCAGGCCACCGCUGGCCGGUGAGGCCCGGCUGCAUUGCGGAGGGCACCCUGCUCUCUCGGCCCACUGAGCACACGUUGGAAGGAAGGGAGGACUCGUGUGGUCAUUUCUGCUGCUGCUCGUUCGUACUUGGAGGUGGGUGGGAUGCAGGGUAGGAAGACCCUGGGAAGUCUCGGAAGACCUUCAAGUUGAACGUGACCCAGACUGAGCUGCCUCCAUCCUGCUCCCUGUUGCUUCUCCCCUGACACACACUCAGCCACCAAGCCAGGAACCCCGUUCCCAUCUCUGGCUGCCCUCUCCCCCUUCCCAUGUUCAGCCAUCAAGUCCUAAGGUCCCACCCUUGUGGAGCUCUUGCCUUGUCCCUGUGCCUCCUUGCGCCUGCCCAGUUCCUUAGCACUCACCGCCUGGAGCCCACAGUUGCUUCCUGAUAGAUCCCCCCUCUCCUGGCCAGUUCUCUCUCCACCAGGGGCCUUCUGCAACGCUGGUCUCAUUGGUCAGCUCCCUGCUCACACCAUCCCGAGGUGCUGCAGGCUGUCCCCACGAAGCUAAGCUGCAAAGUGGCCCCGGAAGUUCUGGGCUCUCCCUUGCCUCCCCUUCCUGCUUAGUUUUGACCCUCCCUGACGUGAGACCUUGGCUCCGGUCAUACAGGACAGCUGUUUCUCCACCAAGCUGCAAAGACCUCCCCUUGCUCCCCGCUUUGCUGGGCAUUCCUUGUUUUGUGAUCAGCACUUCUGCCUCCCAAUUAUUUUUAAAAAGUGUUUAUUCAUUUAUUUUCUUCUACUUAAAAGGCAGAGUCACACCCGCACACACACACACAGAGUUCAACAUAUAUAAAUACAGAUGGAUAGAUGAUAGAAUGAUUAGUCUUCCAUCUGCUGAUGCACUCCUCAAAUGCCAGCAACAGCCAGGACUGGACCACGCCAAAGCUAGGAGCCAGAAACUCCAUCUGGUUUUCCCACGGUGGGUGGCAGGGACCCAAGCACUUGGGCCAUCAUCUGCUGCCUCCAAGAGGCAUUAGCAGGGAGCUGGAUGGGAAGUGGAGCAGCUGGGACUUGAACUGGCACUCCAGUAUGGGAAGUGUCUGUCCCCAGGGGCAGCCUAACUCACUGUGCCACAACAUCCACCCCUUUCAACUCUUUUUUUUUUUUUUAAGAUUUAUUUAUUUAUUUGAAAGGCAGAGUUACAGAGAGGCAGAGAGAGAGAGAGGACUUCCAUCCAAUGGUUUACUUCCCAGAUGGCUGCAACAGCCAGAGGUGUGCCAAUCUGAAGCCAGGAGUUUCUUUCAGGUCUCCCACACAGGUACAAGGGCCCAAGCAAUUGGGCAAUUGGGCCAUCCUCUACUGCUUUCCCAGGCCAUAGCAGAGAGCUGGAUCAGAAAUGGAACAGCCGGGACUUGAACCGGUGCCCAUAUGGGUUGCUGGCGCUAGAGGCUGAGGCUUUAACCUGCUGCACCAGAGCGCUGGCCCCACCCCUUUCAACUCUUUAGGGGGCAUUUUCUCUCUGCUACUGUUUGCAGGGUUGUGAGUGGGCCACUUGUAGGCACUGCCUUCCCCUUAUGAAGAAUAACCUCACGAGUCCACCCAAAGGAUGGACUCAGACCUAGGAAAAGGAUGGACUCAGACCCAGGAAGUGCACAGAGACUGACGCUUUAACGGUCUUGCAAGAUCGGGUGUCUGGUGGCCAGUGUACCCGGGAUGAUUGACAGCAAGCUGUUUAUGUCCUAGCAUGCAGGUCCCUCCCCCAGCUCCUCCGUGGCCAGUACUGUGGCAUUAGGAUCUUCCUGCAUUUGCUUCCCCUGUUUUGGCCACUCCUAACAUCCUGUUUGCCUACGACUUUCCAGGUGCAUGUAGCCUAGCUGUUGCGCUAGUCGGCUACGUGUGACACCUGUAAGCUGCUAUGUUAGCUAGUUGUCUACUCAGCUAAAUGCCUCACUUGCAAAAUGAACCACAUGUUCAAUUCUCACGAUGUCAUCUCUAUCUCUUUUUACAGUUUUGGGUCUUGCUUUCAUUUUUAUUUUGAUGACCUUCAGGUAUUUUGUGGAAUGCCAGGGGGAAGGGAAUGACCAGUAGAACUAAGCACAAGUCCCGGUCCAGCUGGACAGGAACAGGACACGGAGGUUCCUCUUUGCACAGUGCUGCCAGACAUCAGCCCGGGGGUCUAAGGAGGGCUGAGUAGUUCCUGCCGUCAGGGUCACAGUAACAUUAAGAGGCUCCUGGAGGCCCACAGUUCUCCCACGGGCGUAUUGAACUUGGCCUGCAGCCUGGAGAGGCGGGAGAAAUUGUUCGUCUUCCCCAUGGGGAAAGAGGGCGUUGCCCUAACGCCUGACCUUUGCGGCAUGGGGGAACACAGCACCAGGCUUCUUCAAGUCUUGUCUCCCGGCCUCCUUGUCCCUGGCGUGGAGCCAGCAUGCGUCGGGACCCUGUCCCAUCCUGGGGAAACGCAGCCACCUGUGCCUGAGGGGAGGCCUACACUGGAAAGCUGACUGCUCCUACCCAGGCGUUCCUGUCUGCACACCCCAUCUCAGUGUGUGUCCCAGCUGCUCCCUCCCACAGUCCAUACGAAUUUUUGAGGACUGAGCGAACUCGUAGUUAACUUGUUCAAGGUCAGGUUUAAGGGCUCUUUGGGUGAUCCACACGCUUCCACUGGUCUUUCUUCCCCUCUUGGGGUCUUGCUUACCAGUCCCUGUGAGCAGUUCCUACGGUGGCCUCCGUGGUCAGGAGCACCUGGUAGGGCCCUUCCCAACUGGGGUGAAACUUGGCUUCCUUCCAGGUCCUGCGCGGUGGAAAGUGAGGAGCUGCGGGCCUGGGAGGCGGAGUCUGGGCGAGGGAGGAGGCGGAGUCUGGGCGAGGGAGGAGUCCUGUUAACCCGAGGGAUGAGAUCUCUCCUGCCCUAGGCAUUUCACAGCCCCUGCACACCCACCCUGUGCUGAUGCAGCUGCCCACACACCUCGUCCCUAAGGACUGCAUCACACAGAGCUUGGGGACCCCAGUGGCUCCCCUGACGUAAUAUGGAGAUGAUGAGCACAACAUAGACUGGGCAUCCUUCUAGAGCUCACAAGUAUUUUCAGUGGUUCACACCAUUUGGCCCAAAUAAAACACUCCAUUUUUUAAAAAAAAUAUUUUAUUUAUUUAUUUAUUUGAGAGGUAGAGUUACAGAUAGUGAGAGGGAGAAACAGAGAGAAAGGUUUUCCUUCCAUUGGUUCACUCCCCAAAUGGCCGCAAUGGCUGGAGCUGCGCUGAUCUGAAGCCAGGAGCCCGGUGCUUCUUCCCAGUCUCCCACAUGGGUGCAGGGGCCCGAGGACUUGGGCCAUCUUCCACUGCUUUCCCAGGCCACAGCAGAGAGCAGGAUAGGAAGAGGAGCAGCUGGGACUAGAACCAGCACCCAUAUGGGAUGCCGGCACUGCAGGCAGAGGAUUAACCUACUGCGCCACAGCGCCAGCCCCCAAAACACCCCAUUUGAGAUUCAGUUUUCCCUAACAAUCAAGACCCAAUAACUGCAAAAGAAAAGCACAUGCCACCUUUACCUAGGUUAGUCACAAAAGCACAGCAAAACUUUAAUUAGCUUGUGACAUUAGCAUCCGGAAACAAAGAGGUAGAUCAGGUACUCCAGCUCUUCGGACCUCUAAGACCCACCUGGUCUCACGCAGCAUUUAACUUCCGUACCCCUUUGAUGACAUUCCUUCAGUUUCUCUUUGUAUCCUAACCUCUUGCACCAAGAAUUCAUUCUAUGCUUACGGCUUUCUUACCCAAAAGUUGCAACCUGGAGGUCACAGGCAAACCUUAAGCCUGGAAGACGAAGCGUGUAAGCAUCCUCUCUGGUAAGCUGGGCCUUCAUGUUACUGUUCUCCGCUGCGGGCUGUCAGUCCCCUCUGUCUGGAUUCUUUAAUUCCAAAGCUCGAGUCGGAGCAUACAGUUCACGUGAGGAUCAAGCAAUUCGCUCCCUCUGUGCUGGCUGUAAACCCGUUCCCCCUUACCUUUGUUCGUCCCUGGUCUCCUAAUCCUACGCCUAAACUCAGGAUCAGGUCUCAGCCCAGCAGAUCCAGCCCUGCUGCGGGUGUUUACAGAAAUGAGCCCUGCGCGUUGUUGUCCCAGGUAUUGGCUCCCUCAGAAGCGGGGGGUGGGGGGUGGGGAAUCAUCCUUUCUUCUUCAUCCUCUGGACAGGUCCUGUCUUCCUCCCCCGGGUGUCCUCUGACCGUUUCAGGAGCCCCUGUCUGCGUUUCCCUCCUAGCCGCCGUUGGCAUUUGGGCUUUCCCCACCCUUUUUCUUUUCUUUUUUUUUUUUAACUUUUAUUUAAUAAAUAUAAAUUUCCAAAGUACAGUUUAUGGAUUACAAUGGCUUCCCCCCCCAUAACUUCCCUCCCACUCGCACCCCUCCCAUCUCCCGCUCCCUCUCCCCUUCCAUUCACAUCAAGAUUCAUUUUCAAUUCUCUUUAUAUACAGAAGACUAAUUUAGUAUAUAUUAAGUAAAGAUUUCAUCAGUUUGCACCCACACAGAACAUAAAUUGUAAAAUACUGUUUGAGUACUAGUUAUAGCAUUAAUUCAUAUUGUACAACACAUGAAGGACAGAGAUCCUACAUGAGGAGCAAGUGCACAGUGACUCCUGUUGUUGACUUAACAAAUUGACACUCUUGUUUAUGGCAUCAGUAAUCACCCUAGGCUCUUGUCAUGAGCUGCCAAGGCUAUGGAAGCCUUUUGAGUUCACCAACUCCGAUCUUAUUUAGACAAGGUCAUAGUCAAAGUGGAAGUUCUCUGCUCCCUUCAGAGAA